UACGUAGGGACCAAGCGUUGUCCGGAAUCAUUGGGCGUAAAGCGCGCGUAGGUGGCCAUUUAAGUCCGCUGUGAAAGUCAAAGGCUCAACCUUUGAAAGCCGGUGGAUACUGGAUGGCUAGAGUACGGAAGAGGCGAGUGGAAUUCCUGGUGUAGCGGUGGAAUGCGCAGAUAUCAGGAGGAACACCAAUAGCGAAGGCAGCUCGCUGGGACGGUACUGACACUGAGGCGCGAAAGCGUGGGGAGCGAACAGG
rnacentral:rRNA from 1 species